rnacentral:rRNA from 1 species
UAGUACGGCGAGUGAGAGGGAAGAGCCCAAGAUUGAAAGCUGGCGUCUUCGGCGUCCGCAUUGUAAUCUCAAGAAGUGUUUUCCGCUUCGGACCAAGCCUAAGUCCCCUGGAAAGGGGCAUCAUAGAGGGUGAUAAUCCCGUACAUGGCUUGGAGCGCCCGAGGCUUUGUGAUACGCUUUCUAAGAGUCGAGUUGUUUGGGAAUGCAGCUCAAAAUGGGUGGUAAAUGCCAUCUAAGGCUAAAUAUUGGGGAGAGACCGAUAGCGAACAAGUACAGUGAUGGAAAGAUGAAAAGAACUUUGAAAAGAGAGUUAAACAGUACGUGAAAUUGCCAAAAGGGAAGGGUAGGAGGUCAGAGAUGCGGCCUGGGAUUCAGCCUUGCUUUUGCUUGGUGUUUUUCCCAGAUUGCAGGCCAACGUCGGUUUUGGGCACUGGAGAAGGGUAGGAGGAACGUGGCACCCCUCGGGGUGUGUUAUAGCCUCCUACUGGAUACAGCGACCGAGACCGAGGACAGCAGCGUACUCGCAAGAGCGGGCCUUCGGGCACCUUUACGCUUAGGGCGUUGGCAUAAU